AUUGAACGCUGGCGGCAUGCUUUACACAUGCAAGUCGAACGGUAACAGGCCGCAAGGUGCUGACGAGUGGCGAACGGGUGAGUAAUGCAUCGGAACGUGCCCAGUCGUGGGGGAUAACGCAGCGAAAGCUGUGCUAAUACCGCAUACGAUCUAUGGAUGAAAGCGGGGGACCGUAAGGCCUCGCGCGACUGGAGCGGCCGAUGUCAGAUUAGGUAGUUGGUGGGGUAAAGGCUCACCAAGCCAACGAUCUGUAGCUGGUCUGAGAGGACGACCAGCCGCACUGGGACUGGGACACGGCCCAGACUCCUGCGGGAGGCAGCAGUGGGGAAUUUUGGACAAUGGGCGAAAGCCUGAUCCAGCAAUGCCGCGUGUGUGAAGAAGGCCUUCGGGUUGUAAAGCACUUUUGUCCGGAAAGAAAUGGCCCUGGUUAAUACCUGGGGUCGAUGACGGUACCGGAAGAAUAAGGACCGGCUAACUACGUGCCAGCCGCCGCCGUAA
rnacentral:rRNA from 1 species